rnacentral:rRNA from 1 species
CCUACGGGUGGCAGCAGUGGGGAAUAUUGGACAAUGGGCGAAAGCCUGAUCCAGCCAUGCCGCGUGUGUGAAGAAGGCCUUCGGGUUGUAAAGCACUUUCAGUGGGGAAGAAAGCCUUGGGGCUAAUACCCUCGAGGAAGGACAUCACCCACAGAAGAAGCACCGGCUAACUCCGUGCCAGCAGCCGCGGUAAUACGGAGGGUGCGAGCGUUAAUCGGAAUUACUGGGCGUAAAGCGCGCGUAGGCGGUCUUGUAAGCCGGUUGUGAAAGCCCCGGGCUCAACCUGGGAACGGCAUCCGGCACUGACAGGCUAGAGUGCAGGAGAGGAAGGUAGAAUUCCCGGUGUAGCGGUGAAAUGCGUAGAGAUCGGGAGGAAUACCAGUGGCGAAGGCGGCCUUCUGGACUGACACUGACGCUGAGGUGCGAAAGCGUGGGUAGCAAACAGGAUUAGAUACCCCAGUAGUC